rnacentral:rRNA from 1 species
UACAGAGGUCCCAAGCGUUGUUCGGAUUCACUGGGCGUAAAGGGUGCGUAGGUGGCGAGGUAAGUCGGAUGUGAAAUCUCGGAGCUCAACUCCGAAACUGCAUUGGAAACUACCUUGCUCGAGGGUUGGAGGGGGGACUGGAAUUCUCGGUGUAGCAGUGAAAUGCGUAGAUAUCGAGAGGAACACCAGUGGCGAAGGCGAGUCCCUGGACAACUCCUGACACUGAGGCACGAAAGCUAGGGGAGCAAACAGG